AACGAACGCUGGCGGCGUGGAUAAGACAUGCAAGUCGAGCGCUGAUUCAAGGGUAGCAAUAUUCUUGAGUCGGAGCGGCGCAAGGGUGCGUAACACGUGGGUAAUUUGCCAUGAAGUCUGGAAUAACUUGCUGAAAGGCGAGCUAAUGCCGGAUGUGAUUUUUGGGGAGCAUUCCCUGAAACUCAAAGUUGGGGACCGUAAGGCCUGACGCUUCUUGAUAAGCCCGCGGCCUAUCAGCUAGUUGGUGAGGUAACGGCUCACCAAGGCUAAGACGGGUAGCUGGUCUGAGAGGACGACCAGCCACACUGGAACUGAGACACGGUCCAGACACCUACGGGUGGCAGCAGUCGAGAAUUUUUC
rnacentral:rRNA from 1 species